rnacentral:rRNA from 1 species
AGAGUUUGAUCCUGGCUCAGGAUGAACGCUAGCUACAGGCUUAACACAUGCAAGUCGAGGGGCAGCAUGAUCAAAGCUUGCUUUGAUUGAUGGCGACCGGCGCACGGGUGAGUAACGCGUAUCCAACCUUCCCCUUAGUAGGGCAUAGCCCGGCGAAAGUCGGAUUAAUACCCUAUGUUAUUCGUCGAGGACAUCUGAAGUGAAUCAAAGAUUUAUCGCUAAGGGAUGGGGAUGCGUCUGAUUAGGUUGUUGGCGGGGUAACGGCCCACCAAGCCAUCGAUCAGUAGGGGUUCUGAGAGGAAGGUCCCCCACAUUGGUACUGAGACACGGACCAAACUCCUACGGGAGGCAGCAGUGAGGAAUAUUGGUCAAUGGGCGAGAGCCUGAACCAGCCAAGUAGCGUGCAGGAUGACUGCCCUAUGGGUUGUAAACUGCUUUUAUACGGGGAUAAAGUGAGGUAUGCAUACCUUUUUGUAGGUACCGUAUGAAUAAGGACCGGCUAAUUCCGUGCCAGCAGCCGCGGUAAUACGGAAGGUCCGGGCGUUAUCCGGAUUUAUUGGGUUUAAAGGGAGCGCAGGCUGAUUAUUAAGCGUGACGUGAAAUGUAGCCGCUCAACGGCUGAACUGCGUCGCGAACUGGUAGUCUUGAGUGAGUUCGAUGUAGGCGGAAUUCGUGGUGUAGCGGUGAAAUGCUUAGAUAUCACGAAGAACUCCGAUUGCGAAGGCAGCCUACAAGGCCUUUACUGACGCUAAAGCUCGAAGGUGCGGGUAUCGAACAGGAUUAGAUACCCUGGUAGUCCGCACGGUAAACGAUGGAUGCCCGCUGUUUGCGAUAUACAGUAAGCGGCCAAGAGAAAUCGUUAAGCAUCCCACCUGGGGAGUACGCCGGCAACGGUGAAACUCAAAGGAAUUGACGGGGGCCCGCACAAGCGGAGGAACAUGUGGUUUAAUUCGAUGAUACGCGAGGAACCUUAUCAACCCUUGACAUGGGGGUUAAACGGCUUACAAUAGAGCCGGUCAUUUAGUUGGGCCCCACACAGGUGCUGCAUGGCUGUCGUCAGCUCGUGUCGUGAGAUGUUGGGUUAAGUCCCGCAACGAGCGCAACCCUCGCCUUUAGUUGCCAUCAUUCAGUUGGGCACUCUAGAGGAACUGCCGGUGUAAGCCGGAGGAAGGUGGGGAUGACGUCAAGUCCUCAUGGCCCUUACGGGUUGGGCUACACACGUACUACAAUGGCGAUGACAGAGGGAAGCGAGCCUGCGAGGGUGAGCGGAUCCCGAAAAAUCGCCUCAGUUCGGAUUGAUCUCUGCAACUCGGGAUCAUGAAGUUGGAAUCGCUAGUAAUCGCGGAUCAGCAGGUCGCGGUGAAUACGUUCCCGGGCCUUGUACACACCGCCCGUCACACCAUGGGAGUUGGUUUUACCUGAAGGCGCUAUGCUAACCGCGAGGGGGUAGGUGACCACGGUAAGAUCAGUGACUGGGGUGAAGUCGUAACAAGGUAGCC